ensembl:lncRNA
CAAAACAGGCGUUAGUGGUGCAGACACCGCUGAAAACGAAACCCGUCAUAUUCUGAAGUUGAACUCGAAGGAAAUGAAGUGAACCCCUGGCCAUAUUUAUGCUCUGUUACGCAGUGUAAGCUGUGCUUACCUAGGGAGACCAAACUAGCAGCUUAUAAAAUCUCAACAACACAUCAACCCUUCGCAAGCAUGUAGAGAUGAGUCCAGAGGAGGCCUGAUGAGACACCUGGCUGGAUGUGUUGAUUUUGGCUGGCAUACCUGUCAUGGAAAGCUGCAACUGUAAUUCAAAAAUAAGGAGGCUAGUGCCACAUGAGUCCAAGUGGUGACAUGAGUGAAGAAGCACAACAGCUCUCCUACUCUUCCAAUCUGCCAUGUCUGUUCACUCCCACAUCGGGAACAUGAUGAGGAGGUCAGUGAAGACUUUUCAGAGAGGAUGUCCUCACAGGCUUUGACUCUCCAUUGUUCUGACAUUAAGCUGAGUGCGACAUAUUGAAAAG